UACGAAGGGGGCUAGGCGUUGCUCGGAAUCACUGGGCGUAAAGGGGCGCGAUAGGCGGAGUCUUUAAGUCGGGGGUGAAAGCCGUGAGGCUCAACCUCAGAAUUGCCUUCGAUACUGGAGAUCGUUGAGACCGGAAGAGGUAAGUGGAACUGCGAGUGUAGAGGUGAAAUUCGUAGAUAUUCGCAAGAACACCAGUGGCGAAGGCGGACUUGACUGGUCCGGUUCGUGACGCUGAGGCGCGAAAGCGUGGGGAGCAAACAGG
rnacentral:rRNA from 1 species